ensembl:lncRNA
ACACGGCACGGUCAGUGCCCCAGGUGUGCCUCCUCCAGGUGUGCUGGCCCCAUCACAGUAACAACCCAGGGUGGGUUUGGGAUUUGGGGACCCAGCAGCAAUGGUACCAAUGGAUACACACAGUGGUACCACUUCGAGACAUCCAUCCAGCACAAGCACCAGCAGCACAGGGAUGAGAACUGGGGAUGCACUGACCUGGGGUUGGGGGGGGGCGGGUAGGGGGCUAGCAUCCCCCAGGGUGAGGCUGCAGGGAGGCAGUGGGAUCUGGGGGUGUCAGGGAUGCUGAGGGGGGACACGGGGCUGUGAAGCGACAGAGAUCAGCCCCAAGGUGGAACCCAGUGGGUGGGGACAAGGCAGCAAUGGGGCGGCUGUGGGGUCUGCAGCGGGGACACAUCCCAAGGGAGGACAGGAGCAUCCCCACGCCCCUGCAGCGUCUCAUAACCCAUGGAAAUACCAUUACCUAGCGGCUGCCUGCCCACAGAACAUGAUUUGGAGCCGAUUCCCGGCACCGUCCUGGGGCGGGAGCCAGGGGAACGCGGCCAAACAUAUUUGCUGCGGCCAACACGGCCCCGCGGUGGGGCGGCGUGGGGCUGGGGGUGGCGGGGGGGCCGGGAGCACCCGUGUCAGCAGGCGGUGAUUCACCGCUUACCAGAAUGCCGAUAUUUAUCACCCGGCUCCGCCACGAGGCGAGACGAGACGCUAAAAUAACCGACCAAAUAAAUGAAUAAAUAAUAAUAAUAAAUCUAACGCUACGGCUUGGGUGGCAGCAUCCCCUCUGCAGAUCCGAAUGGGUUUUCUCGUCUCCUCAUCCCCACCCCGGUUCUCUCUGCGGCGGGUGGAUUCUGAUGGAGGAAAAUAAACGCAGCCGCUCCCUCCCGUGCGUGUCCCCGAUUGCCCCGCGCUCCGCAGCUCCAAUGGGACGCGCCGAUCACAGAGAAGGGCCUGCCAGCCUGGCUUGGCUUUCCAUCACCGCUGACAGAGGCAGCUGAGGCCAUGCCUGAGGUGUGAUGAGAGUCACAGUGCUCAGCACUGUCCCUGGAUCCCCAGAAACCAUCACCAUGAGGACAAGGAGAGGCAGCAUGUGUCCAUGGGAUGCAGUGAGAGCGCUGGGGUUCAGUACAGGACCCCCCCAUGCAGUGCUCUGAUGCCGUGCUAUUCUUUAUCAAAGCUCCACGUGGAGCUCAGCUCUCAUUGCACUGGGGGUCUCCCUGUGGGAAAUGUGGGUCUGAGCAGCGCUGCAGGGCUGUUCCCCUCCUUUGGCAUUCUGCAUUCUGCUCAUGUCCUGUGUGAGAGCAGCGGCACUGAGUCACGUUCCAG